rnacentral:lncRNA from 1 species
AUUUAAAAUGUUUUGUAAAAUCCAAAAAAUCGAAUUUAUAUAGAAAUUGUUUUUUGUAAAAUCCAAAAAAUCGAAUUUAUAUAGAAAAAUCGUUUUGUAAAAUACAAAAAUCGAUUUUAUAUACAAAAAUCGAUUUUAUAAAUACAAAAAAUAAAAAAAUUAUAAAAAAAUCCUAAAUCAAUUCAACAAAACAAAUUAUUCAACCAAAUCACA